rnacentral:rRNA from 1 species
CCUACGGGAGUCAGCAGUAAGGAAUAUUGGUCAAUGGACGCAAGUCUGAACCAGCCAUGCCGCGUGAAGGAUGAAGGCCCUCUGGGUUGUAAACUUCUUUUACAGGGGACGAAAAAAGGGAAUUUUUCUCACUUGACGGUACCCUGGGAAUAAGCACCGGCUAACUCCGUGCCAGCAGCCGCGGUAAUACGGAGGGUGCAAGCGUUAUCCGGAUUCACUGGGUUUAAAGGGUGCGUAGGUGGGCAUUUAAGUCAGUGGUGAAAUCUCCGGGCUUAACCCGGAAACUGCCAUUGAUACUAUUUGUCUUGAAUAUUGUGGAGGUAAGCGGAAUAUGUCAUGUAGCGGUGAAAUGCUUAGAUAUGACAUAGAACACCCAUUGCGAAGGCAGCUUACUACGCAAAUAUUGACACUGAGGCACGAAAGCGUGGGGAUCAAACAGGAUUAGAUACCCUGGUAGUCCACGCCCUAAACGAUGGAUACUCGACAUCAGCGAUACACAGUUGGUGUCUGAGCGAAAGCAUUAAGUAUCCACCUGGGAAGUACGACCGCAAGGUUGAAACUCAAAGGAAUUGACGGCUGNGAGNGCGAGACGACGACGAGGAGAGG